GGAAUAUUUGUUAGGUUCGGAGACGACGACGAGUACCGCAGCUCCACGUAGGGAGUGACUGCGUUGGUUUUCUUUUUGUUGGAGACCGAGUUUUGCAGGUAUAGGUCGGUGUCCACUACAGGUCGCGUUUUGCAUUUUGUGACUCGCUCGAGAAGUGCGUAGUUGAGGCCUGUGGGAGUCUUUGUCUCCUGGCCCGUAGAUGAUUUUUGCUUAGUUUAGUUUUGGAUAUUAGUUGGUUAUGUAAAGUUUAUUUCUUGACAGACUUCCGCUGUAGUUUGUAAAUGAACAAUAUUUUGAGAUGUAAAUAAAAUGUGGCUGUUGAACUGUA